GAUUCCCCCAAACCCGUGGCCGCAUUUCUCGUCAUAGUACGCCGGCGGCCCCGCUCUUCCUCCUCCUGGCCAAGCGCGCCGCGCGCCACCGGCCCCGCUCCUCUUCCCCAUCUCAGCCAUGCGCGCAGCCGCUCCCGCGCAUGCUUCCUCCUCCUGCCAUGCGCGCCGCCGCCCCGCGCCUCCAUGGCUCCAUCCUCCUCCUAGCACGCGCGCUGCCGUCCCCAUGCAUCCUUCCUCCUCCUAGCAUGCGUGCCUCCGUCCCCGCGCCUCCCUCCUCCAAGCACGCCCCACCCCCUUCCCCCUCCCGGCAUGCGCGCCGCCACCCCGACCUUCCUCCCGCACUCACCGUCGCUCGCUCCCAUCUCCUCCCUGCUUCCAUAGCCGCCCCGCCCCUAUCUUCCCCAGCUUCGGCCGCCGCGCCGCACGUAUAUCCCUAAGCUCCGGCCGCCGCAGCGCCCCAUCUCCCCUCGCUCCCACACCACCACGCCAUCUCCUCCCGGUGGGGCUCCGCCGCCGAAGCGAUCUGGCCGUUCACAGCCACCACCCCUGUCCGUUCACCUGUACAAGAUGACCAGGCCGAGGAGGUGUCAAAGAAAGAGCUAAGUGAUCUAGUAGAGUUCAUUUAUUGAAGGUGUUCACCUUUUGUGUGAUUAUCAGUUCACAUUUGGUGUGAUUUUCUGUUCAACAGGCUUACUAUUUCAUCAUCAGGAUGCAGCAAAAAAGCAAGGUUCACAAGUUCAUCUUCUGGAUGCUUUUCAGUACAUCUACUUCCCGUUGUGCAAGUGUGGAGGGCUAGUAAGUUCUACUACCAGUCUACACCAAGUUCAGGGGCAUUGCCACUGAUGGAAAGGACAAUGAACCAACGACGUUGGAUCAUAGGUCGAAGGAGGCCGGGUCAAGGCACCAUGACUGGUUGUUGUUGUAUGUUGGUGUCGUGCUUGUUGAUGUGUUGACUAGCAGAUCAUAUAUAUGCAUGUUGUUUGCUUUUGACAUGGAGCGCCCUAGCCGAUCACAGCCACCACAGCAGGCCGUUCAACGCCACCUCCGCAGGCGGUUCAUCGCAAAAACAGCGACCUGAUUCCCGCUGGUUCUCACCAGCAAUGCCCAUUCGAGCACGUCAUCGCUCUCCUGCUGCAGCAUGGCUCAGCUACUGCACUUGGUGGAGUACAUGAGUUGGAUUGACGAGGAAGAUGCAUUCUGGGUAUAUCAAAGCCUGCUGGAGGAGUCACGGGGUUGAGGACCUCCCGCUUAACAAUACAACUUCUUGUUUUGUGGCCGGUCGCUCAAGGAGCUGAGUGCAGGCCGCAGAAAAAACAAUUUGUCGGGUUUUUGGUGGCCAAGUAUUAUUGAUAUGGAGAUGAAUAACUAUGCGGAUGCGCUCCUGUGGUUUUUCUGGAAAAAACAAGAUGCCAUGUUUUACUUUAUGAGCUUUCCAAUUUGCAUACUUCAAAGUUGCUGCUUGCUCCCACCCGUGAAUUGCGCAAUUUCAAUGGGUGUCGUCGAGCAUGUUUGGAAGUAUGCCCUUCAUGCAAAAGUGUGAAGUUUUGUCAGUAUUUUGUAUAUUUCAUUUGACAAAGGCUUCAUGUGAUCUUAUGAAGCUUUAUAGAUGUACUGCAAUUACACUUUUAAGGCCCUACAGUUCAUUAUAUCAUACAUGUGUGGCCGUUCAAUAUGUAUUACAUGAUCAGUUCUUGGAAAAGAAGAACACAAUAGUUCGGUCGAAAACAAUGAUCAGUUCGAUA